rnacentral:rRNA from 1 species
UGGGGAAUAUUGCACAAUGGAGGGAACUCUGAUGCAGCGACGCCGCGUGAACGAAGAAGGCUUUCGAGUCGUAAAGUUCUUUUAGAUGGGAAGAUAAUGACGGUACCAUAAGAAAAAGCCCCGGCUAACUACGUGCCAGCAGCCGCGGUAAUACGUAGGGGGCUAGCGUUGUCCGGAAUCACUGGGCGUAAAGGGUUCGCAGGCGGAAAUGCAAGUCAGGUGUAAAAGGCAGUAGCUUAACUACUGUAAGCAUUUGAAACUGCAUAUCUUGAGAAGAGUAGAGGUAAGUGGAAUUUUUAGUGUAGCGGUGAAAUGCGUAGAUAUUAAAAAGAAUACCGGUGGCGAAGGCGACUUACUGGGCUCAUUCUGACGCUGAGGAACGAAAGCGUGGGUAGCAAACAGG